UUUUCCAGAUACUGUCUUCUCAUCAUAGUUUAAUUAAGCGUUCAGAUUAUCUGAAAGGAAAAGUGAGAUAAAGAGAGGGAGAGAACCUUUUUGACUUUUUAAUAGAUUACAUGUUAGUGAUACAUUUAUGAAUGUUGAGAUUACUCUCUUCCCAGUUACUAGGAGGAACUCUGUGUGCUCAUGCUCAUGCUGCAGUGUACUCAGCCACUGAAAAUGAUACUUGCAGAGCCACAAAGCAGUCUUUCUAGGACAAACAAAAUUUUCCAAAGAACCCAAAAUGGCUUUGUACACUUCAUUACUUGAGCAAGCGGGGGCCUAGCCCAUCAGAUAGAAGUUUCUUCUACUUUGAGGCAAUGUAUGUGCCAGUAGGUGACACCAGUGCCAUAAGUUGGUCAAGGUCUAGCUUUAGAAUAGGGAAGGUGUGUGAGCACUGUGUGCUGAGGGGUGGCUGCUGCUGAGAUUUCCUUAAGGCCUGGGAAACCUUAAGUUCUGCCAGAGGACCAGAAUUCAGUAAAUUAAAUCAGCAGAAAAUGUAUUAAAUAAACAAAAAGAAGAGACUAAAAUGUAAUCCACAAAAUCCACUGGUUUUUAUCCUUAUAAAGUCAGCAAAUGCUUCUAACUCUGAGAGAUUUUUUUUUUUUCUUUUUUUUUUCCUCUGACAUCUUUGUAUUAGUGCUUUGGAAAACGGAA